CAAAUUGUUUAUGUGUGUUGUAGACUUAGAUGGGAUUUCAAUAAAAAUAGUUUUGUCUUGUUUUAAAUUUUUUUAUACAGAUUGGCCAGCUUGCAAAAGUUAAAAAUUGUUCAUGCAGGCUAGGUAGUCGCUGCCAAUAUGCAGAUGGUGAUAAUUUAAGGUUGAAACCAAUAAAUCGAUUUUGUGCACCAGAAAAAGUGAGCAACAACAGCAGUAGUCUGGGACAGAAAGAGUUCGUGUAGUGCUGCGAAAGCCAGCGCUGUGUGAAGAUAGUAAUAGCAAAUCUGCGGAGGUAUGGAAAAAAGCGAUCACAUUUCAGUAACUUUGUCAGGUGCAGGUGUGGGAGGCAGUGAAGAAGACAGUCUCACUGCUAAACAGCCCCAACGACGUAGCUUACGGAGGUCUUGGAAUCAACUGCCUCGUUGUCAGCGAAGCCUUAUCAUAGUAGCCACAUUAGCGGCAUGUUUAACAUUAGUUCUCGUUUUAUAUAAUGAACAAAUUGAUGCUCAGAAUGGCAGAUUAGUUAAUAUAAAUGGCGCUUUUUCGUUCCGGGGCAGUCGGGAGGCGGCUAUUGGUUCAGCGCUGGUUCGCAAUGAGCCGCUACCUGUCAAUGCGCUUAAGAAUGGUAACAGCGCGGACGUUGUGAACGGUGUUAAUAAUAUAGAUAACAAUGUGUUACCCGAAAUUGGCCAGCGACCAAUGCCGUUGUUACAUGAUAAUGCACCUGAAUUCAAAGAUAUUAACGUGCUCGAUUUACCCAAUCGUGUUCAAAAAACUGGUGAUGGCAUCGAUAGUGGCGCAGAAUUAUUAAAAAAUCAGAAGUCAAACUUUUUGCAGGGUCCCUUAGCUGAUGUCCCAAAUAAAAUAAGUAUACAAGAGAUUAACCUUAAUGACAAUCGCAUUGAAAGUCCCGCCGUUGAUGCUCAAUCGGGCGUUGAAGAUGAUGAUCGUGCUGCUUUGGAAGCGGCCGUGCUAAAUCCGCGUGCGGUUCCCGGCACCGAUAACAUUUUAAUUGCCGACUAUGCCGAUAAAUUGGAUAGUUCUACGUUGGCACAAAAACAACAUUUCCACGGCGCCACAAAUGAGCGCCAGACUGCUGUUGUUGCAGCUUUCAAACACUCCUGGAAUGGUUAUAAAAAGUAUGCUUGGGGUCAUGACAAUUUGAAGCCGUUAUCACAGGGCUCGCACGAUUGGUUCGGCUUGGGUUUGACCAUCGUCGACUCUUUGGACACCAUGUACAUAAUGGGCUUAGAGGAUGAAUUCAAUGAAGGACGUGAGUGGGUCAGCAAUUUUCUUACAUUUGACAUCAAUCGCGAUGUGAAUCUGUUUGAGGUGACAAUUCGUGUGCUGGGUGGCUUAUUGUCGGCUUAUCAUUUGAGUGGUGACAAAAUGUUCCUAAUCAAAUCGAUCGAAUUGGGCAAUCGUAUGUUGCCGUGUUUUCUCUCCGCUUCUGGCAUACCAUAUUCGGAUGUGAAUCUUGCUUCAAUGUCUGCACAUUCGCCCAAAUGGUCUCCGGACAGUUCGACCAGCGAGGUUACUACCAUACAAUUGGAAUUUCGUGAUCUUAGUCGUUCUUCCCAAAUACCUAUUUACGAAAAAGUAUCCCAUGCAGUCAACAAGAAGGUACAUACGCUGGAGAAAACCAGUGGUUUAGUACCAAUAUUUAUAAAUGCCAACACAGGCACGUUUAGAAAUUACGCUACAAUUUCAUUGGGCGCACGUGGCGAUUCCUAUUAUGAAUACCUUUUGAAACAGUGGCUACAGACUGGACGAAAACCAGAUGAUUUCCUUAUUGUGGACUAUAUACGCGCCAUUGACGGAGUAUUAACAAAACUGUUGCGUCGUACGCCCAAAGAGCAGCAUGUUUACAUCGGCGAAUUAAUCAAUGGCAAAGAUUUCAAACCGAAAAUGGACCAUCUUACUUGUUACCUACCCGGUACGCUGCUGUUGGGACACAAAUUCGGCAUGCCAACCUCACACUUUCUGCUGGCACGCGACCUCCUCGAAACCUGUUAUCAAACAUAUAUGCGUCAGCCAACACAGCUGGCGCCUGAGAUAUCCUACUUUGCGCUGACCGAAAAUGAAGAGCAAGAAAUUUACGUAAAGCCCAAUGAUGCUCAUAAUCUGUUGCGUCCCGAAUUCAUAGAGAGUCUGUACUAUUUCUAUGCAAUAACUGGAAAUCGCACCUAUCAGGAUAUGGGUUGGAAUAUUUUCCAAGCGUUUGAGAAACACACCAAAGUUGCUUACGGUUACACAUCGAUUGGCAAUGUUAAACAUAUAUUUAAUACAAGACUGCGUGAUAUGAUGGAGAGCUUUUGGUUAAGUGAAACACUUAAAUAUUUUUAUCUUUUGUUUAGCGACAAUCGGUUAGAAAUCGAUUUGGAUAAGUGGGUGUUCAAUUCCGAGGCACAUCUGCUGCCACUAAGAAAUCAUUAAGUUCGUAUUUGCUUGCAUGUGGGUAUGCUGCUGUGCGUGUGUGCGAAACGAAUGUGCGUAACCAUGACCAUUAUAAUGCGAAUCGAAUUGAGUUGAUCGCUCAAUAUGUAAAUAUUUACACUUAUUUAUACAGUCAUACCAAUCAAAUCAUACUUGUCGCAUGCCUAGAACCUUUUGUUUUGUACUGCAAGCGUAGCAUCACCACGAAACGAUGACGAAAUUUAUGCGCGACGGUACAUGUAUGUGUGUACGUAGAUGUGCGCUCAGGACAAAACUCAAUUGAAUCAUGUUAAUUUGCAGAUGCUUGUGACCAAGAUGUAUACAUGCAUACGUUUACAUACAAAGAUGUACAGCUGUGAACAUAGGAGUAGCAGCACAA